UGAAUGGACCGCAUGCGAGUGUCGCAUCCAGCGUGCAUCCGUGCAUAGAAAAGCCGUGAAAGACGAGGAAGAAAGUGUUCUGAAGCUGGUCCAUUGUGUUUAAGUUCCUCUGUAACGCAUAUUGAUUGCGAAAUGAAGAGUACAAGAACAUUUUGCAUCACAGAUUUCCGGUUCAUGUGGAAUUCGCAGUAAUGAUUCACUUUCGCGAUUACUGAUUUAUGGAAAUUCCAGAUUUUUUAUAACCCCUUGGUCAUGACACGGAACGAGC